ensembl:lncRNA
GGGAGCAUCGUCUCUGCAAUGUAAAAGCCUCUGGAAAUACAAGUUUUACACGAUGAACCAACAGCAGUCAUUCACCUGCGGCUAAAUUCUCAGUGUUUGUUCUGCACAACAUUUUUCCCCAGGUGAUAAGCCUGCAAGUCUACUGGAGAAAAAGCACGGUGAAGUGCAGGUGGGAAAUGCAUAAAGCAGCUUUCACCGUGGUGUAAUUGGGAGGGCUAACUUUAUUCUGCUGUGCAGUUUAUCUCAGCAAGCUCUGCCUUUUCCUAAUACGACUGCGACGUGCCAAGGCGCUCCAGGAAAAACAAAACAGAACAUGAAACCACCUCACUUACAGGGAUGACGCAGACUAAGUUCAGAAGAGACGAGGAAGACUUAGGGUUUUGCUCAGAAAGAACAGAACUCAACCAGUAGCUAAGCACUGCCGUAGCAAUAUCAGCUGAAACAAGGAAGCUGCUACACCCAGACCAGUAUGCGUGGCUUUCAAGAGCUCUGAAACGAAAC